GACGAACCGUGCGAACGUUGUUCGGAAUCACUGGGCUUAGAGGGCGCGUAGGCGGGUUUUCAAGUCUGUGGUGAAAGCCUCCAGCUUAACUGGAGAAGUGCCGUGGAUACUGGAGACCUCGAGGAGGGUAGGGGCAUCUGGAACAGCCGGUGGAGCGGUGAAAUGCGUUGAUAUCGGCUGGAACUCCGAUGGCGAAGGCAAGGUGCUGGACCCUCUCUGACGCUGAGGCGCGAAAGCCAGGGGAGCGAACGGG
rnacentral:rRNA from 1 species